AUUGAUCUUGUGAGGAGGCGUACAACGUCUUGGUGGCGUCUGGACAUGAUGACCAACACUGUGAGCUUCGCCCGAAAGGAAGAAGCAGUGAAGAGGUUCUCGUCUUCCUCGGGAUUUCCUGAUGAA
rnacentral:SRP_RNA from 1 species